rnacentral:tRNA from 1 species
GGGUAUAGCCCAGCAGUAGAGUACUUGCUUAGCACGCUCCAGGACCUGGGUUCAAUCCCCAGUACUGCA